AUCUACUUUGUAAAACUUAUUUAAGAGGUUCGAGUUACCAAGCCUCUUUGUAUCGAAACCGUGCCUCUUGCAAUAUAAGUCAUAUAUUGCCUUAUUUCUACAUAUUUAAACACUCCUGAGGGAGUGUUUAUUUUUCUUUAAUUUUAUAUAUACUUUGUAUAUUGCAUUACAAAGUAAUAUAAUAUUUUUCGGUGAACUCAACCUAGGAAUUGUGGCUGAUUUGGGGCUGUUGGAGGCUCCGCUGUUUUGUGAAGGAGAGGCUGCUUGUCCUGUGGCCUGCUGUUACUGCUGGUGCUUUUUGCUGCUUCGCACUGCUUUUAUUUAUUUGUUCACUCAUUGUGACAAUGCGUUCGGGGUUUGCACUAUCCUGCUUAUUUCUUUAUUUAAGUCUAUUACUUAAUUUUAACCGAUGCCAACUCGCCUA